UAACCUUGACAGAUUCCAAGUGCACUUUUCAGAAGCAUCCCAUCUUCAAACUGUCCCAAGAGAAGUCUGUCAAACGCAGCCUACACAGGAGCCGGAUCAGCAGGCUGGUCUGAGGCCUCUGCUUGAAAUGCAAGUUCCAGAAAUAUUUGAUGAACUCCAAACUAAGGCCAUUGUUACAGAGAAAACCCGAAUGAAACUCAUUAAAGUUUGCAUCUCUGACUUAGUGGAGAAGCAUGGAUUUUAUCCGUCCACUAUUGAAAAGGUGGUUCUUGCAAAGAACAUCAUCACCAUCUUCCCAUCGCUUAAAGUCCAAAUUGAUGGCAGAGGAGAAGGCUUUGUGAGUAUAAAGUUGCUUAGUUGAAAAGUGGGUAGAGCUAGCUAUGGGUGUGCAAUG